UAGGGAAUCUUCGGCAAUGGACGAAAGUCUGACCGAGCAACGCCGCGUGAGUGAAGAAGGUUUUCGGAUCGUAAAACUCUGUUGUUAGAGAAGAACAAGGACGUUAGUAACUGAACGUCCCCUGACGGUAUCUAACCAGAAAGCCACGGCUAACUACGUGCCAGCAGCCGCGGUAAUACGUAGGUGGCAAGCGUUGUCCGGAUUUAUUGGGCGUAAAGCGAGCGCAGGCGGUUUCUUAAGUCUGAUGUGAAAGCCCCCGGCUCAACCGGGGAGGGUCAUUGGAAACUGGGAGACUUGAGUGCAGAAGAGGGGAGUGGAAUUCCAUGUGUAGCGGUGAAAUGCGUAGAUAUAUGGAGGAACACCAGUGGCGAAGGCGGCUCUCUGGUCUGUAGCUGACGCUGAGGCUCGAAGGCGUGGGGAGCAAACAGG
rnacentral:rRNA from 1 species